CCUACGGGUGACUGCAGUGAGGAAUAUUGGUCAAUGGACGAGAGUCUGAACCAGCCAAGUAGCGUGAAGGAUGACUGCCCUAUGGGUUGUAACCUUCUUUUAUAUGGGAAUAAAAUGUUCCACGUGUGGGAUUUUGUAUGUACCAUAUGAAUACGGAUCGGCUAACUCCGUGCCAGCAGCCGCGGUAAUACGGAGGAUCCGAGCGUUAUCCGGAUUUAGUGGGUGUAAAGGGAGCGUAGGUGGAUUGUUAAGUCAGUUGUGAAAGUUUGAGGCUCAACCGUAAAACUGCAGUUGAAACUGGCAGUCUUGAGUACAGUAGAGGUGGGCGGAAUUCGUGGUGUAGCGGUGAAAUGCUUAGAUAUCAAGAAGAACGCAGAUUGCGAAGGCAGCUCACUGGACUGCAACUGACACUGAGGCUCGAAAGUGUGGGUAUCAAACAGGAUUAGAUACCCGAGUAGUC
rnacentral:rRNA from 1 species